rnacentral:lncRNA from 1 species
UUUUUUUUUUUUUUUUAAGAUUUUAUUUACUUAUUCAUGAGUGAGAGACACACACACAGAGAGGCAGAGACACAGGCAGAGGGACAAGCAGGCUCCACACAGAGAGCCUAAUGCGGGCCUUGAUCCCAGGACUCCAGGAUUAUGUCCUGAGCCAAAAGCAGAUGCUCAACCAAAGCCAACCAAGCAUCCCACUCUAUGAAAUUCUUAGCAUUGUGGCAGGCACAUACUAAUAGCUCAACCCUUACUAGCUAUUGUCAUUGUUAUUAAUCUUAGACUUUGAUGCAUAGUCUUCCCUUCCUUCCCCAAUUCUGCCAUCAUUCUAAGUGGCUUUAUUGUGAAAUGGACAAUUUAUCCAGUCACACGUUAGCCUUCGAGACUUGGGUUGAACCAUUUGAUAGCCUUCCUGUCCUUUGUAUAUUAGCCAUACAUGCACAUGGCCUCACCUUGGAAUUCCUGCAUUUUGUAAACAUUGAGUUCUAGCGUCUCUCUACCCCAAGCUGAUGGGAGGAUGAAGGGUGGGGCAUGAUCUUCCCACAGUACCAAUCUCAUUAUGUCAUCAACUAAUUAAAAACCUUUCAACAGCUCUCUUUAUCAAAUUCAGAGCCUUUAGUUUGUCAUAAAUUAACAAUCUUGUCUUAAUUUAUGUCUCCCUUCUGCUGUAUAUUCUACAUCCUCUAAUCUUAAAACUCUCAAUUCCAAUGGUACUUUAUCCUUUUUCUCUGUCUAGCUUUGGGUUUUUGCAAACACUGGCGCUUAGGCUGGGGAGAGGAAAGAGGGCUUUCCCUCCCUCUAGGCCAGAUUUUCGUUAAUCUUUCAAUUUCAUAAAGUACUCCACAGCCUGCCUUUCUAAAACCCUUCUCUGACUCCCAUCUCUCUACCCUUCGUUUUACCUCAAAGUGAGCAUCCCUCCUGUAACCCAGUGCAUUGGCAUAUUGUAGCUCUUACCUUACUGAAUUGUGAUUGUGCCCUGAUAGUUUAUUUAUUAGUCCUUUUUACAAAAAUAAAUUACUCAAGGACAAGAUCAGGUCUGAUUGGAUUUUGUUCUUACAUUUCUAGUGCCUACUGAUUGCUGGAGCACAAGAGGGACGCAAUAAUUAUUCAUUGAGUCAAUGCAAAAAUCUAGUCUAUUCUAGCACAGAACUUGAUGACAAUCUUUCACAAAAUUUUACAAAGUAUGGCUGCCUCCAGUGAUAAAUCUAUAUCCCAUCUCCUCAGGGGAAUAAGCAACUCCUACCUGAAGACCAACAAGCUCCUUUGUCUUUUAAAUUUACAUUAGAUAGUAAGAGGUGGGGCAUAUACAUAAAUCUCCAAAGAGAGUUUGAGAAUUAUUAAUUUACCCUAUCACUUCUAUAGCAUUUGCUUUCUUCUGCUUCUUUACAUCUACCAAGGUGAGUGAAAUUAGAUUUUUCAAAUAUUACUGAGAUAUUUUUUCCAAUUGCUUUGCAUUUCAAAUAUUAACAAAAAGUACUGAAUUUAUUUCUUUCCAGUAAAGAAAAAAAGGAGAGAGGGAAAUAGUUUGGUUUCUUGACUAUUUAAUUUGAUAUUAAAUCAAAUGAAUUUUAAAAAUAUAUAUAAAAUUUAAAAAAAUUUUUCCUUGCAGUUUAUCCUUUAACUGUGAAUUAGAUAAUUUUCAAACAACUAUAUUUUGAAUGUGAAAGCUAAGUGAGCUUUCUGUAGACGUGUAUUCAAACCAAAAAUGUUUUCAAAAUAAUCUUAAUGGCUCUAUCUCGUACAAACUUGAAGUAGAGCAAAGUUAAAUUUUCCUUCUUAGAGAAGAACAGCUUUUAGUAGGAAUGGACUAAAGUAUUUUUUUUCCCAUGGAGAAAUUAUACGAGUUUUGACAAUUGAAAUAGAUUUCCUGUGAUUAGAAUACACACUUAAAAUUUUUUGAAAUUUCUUCAGGUUGCUUUGAUUAUCUUGUGCUAUGGGAUUUCUUAGUUUUUUGACAUUUGUGCAUGUAUAGGCAUAAACAUAAGCAAGCAUGUUUGAUUUAGAAACUUCUUUGCAAAGCAGCACGUAGAAGAGUUCAAUGGAGAGGGAUUAUUCUAAAAUAAGCUGUUGUCAGGCACAGUUGUCAAAAAGUCUUAGAAUUAUUCUUAGCUUACUAACUGUUCCCCAAAGGAGUCCUUUCUGGUUUUAUCUAAGGAAUGAGAUACUAAAUUAAUCCUUAAAUCAUUGACCCGCUAGAGUGUGUUAAGAUGGGCAGUAUGUUCAUCUUGAAUAUAAUUAUUUUUAAAGUUUAAUACACAUGUUUUAGAUCAAAUGAUUGUGAACACUUAGAAAAGUGACUUUGAUGGAAAUGUGCCCCAUGAGCAAGCAGUCCAAGUGUUUACUGCUUUCUGUCAUAGCAUUCUGGUUCUUUGUAUUUGCAUCUACUUCUAAAAAUGUGCUUAAUUGUCAUGAUCUAUUUGCAGUUCUCUUAAUGACUCAAGAGCCCACUUUCCUUUCCCUUUUCUGUCUCCAACCAAAGUCUUAUUGACUACAUUUACUCCCUUCCUUUGCUCAGGUUAGAUAAAAGUUAAACUCAGCUCCAUCCUUGCAAACAGACCAGUUCUUGUCACAAUUUCAACCUAAAUAUCUCACUAACCCUUAGGAGCAAGCAGAGCUUAUCAAAGAUUUCAGACUCCCACUUUAGCCUAUUUCUCCUAUUUUACUGUUUUGAUCAUAGCUUCUAGAAUAUUCCCUCAGUCUCACUUUGAUUACCUAGAAUUUAUAAAGAAUAAAACACACCAAUCUUAAGUUGAUGUUGGCCAAUCUAAACAGUUGUGUAGUUACCACCCAAAUUAUGAGAUAAAAUAUUUCCUUCACUCAAGAAAGUUUGGUCCCUUUGAAGUCAGUAUCCUGCUUCCAUCCCUGGAUCCUAUAGAUCUGCUUUCUGUCUCUAUCCAUUUAUAGAAUUUUAUUUAAAUGGGACCCUACAGAAUACAAUCUUCGGUGUAGAGCCUAGGGGAGUACUUUAGUGUUUGACUCCUUUCACUUAGCAUAAUGCUUUGGAGAUUCUUUUGCAUUGUUGCCUGAAUCUAUAGUUUAGUCCAAAUUAACAAAUCCAUUGAAUGGCUAGCCAUACUGUAAUUUACUUAUUCACUUACCUAUUGAAGGACAUUGGGGUUGUUUCUACGUUUUGAUUGUUGUGAGUAAAGCUGCUUUAGGGAUUUGCUGUACUGGUGUUAUGUGAACAUAGGAAUUUAUUUCACAUACAAAUAAAUACAAGAGUGAGACUACUAAAUUAAGUGGGGCUACUAAGUAGUAUGGUAAGUAUUUAAUUUUAUAAAAGAUGAUCAGACUUUUUCCAAAGUGGCUGGGCCAUUGUAUAUUCCCACCAGAACUAUAUGAGAGUUACAGUUGUUUUGCCAACUUUUUAUAUUGGAAGUCUUUUUAAUUUUAGCAUUUAGUUGGUAUAAUUUCUCAUGACUUUAAUUUUCAUGUCCCUUGUUAAAAAAACACUCGAGUAAAUUUGAAGAUAAAAUUAACUUUAUUCAAUAAUUAAUGAACUGAGCAAUAUCCUAUCUAGCAAAUAGAAAGUCACUCCAAAGAGAUGUACAAAAUAGAAGGCUUUUAUAGGCAGAAAGGGGACAAGACAAAGAGUGUGUUGUUUCAGGCAAAGUGAUCAUCCUUUGGGGAAAGGCAGAGUUUACAGGGCAGAUUACGUCACUAGUGCUGUCUCCAUAAUUCCAUAUUGACUGGUUAAAGAUUACUUUCCUGGGAGAGGUUGAAACUGCAAUUAUGUUAGGUACUAAAUCUCAGUUUGCUAACAUGGGGCUUAGCACAAGUGACUCUAUUUGGACCUGUUAUUUCUUUUUUUAACACCCUAAUGACUAAUAACCAUGAGCAUUUUUUAUGCAUUAAUUUACCUUCUACUUUUUGCCAUGUAUUUGGUUAGGUUUAUCUUCCUGUUUCUUUUACUUGGGGUUUGUUGAGCUUCAAUCUGUUGGUUUGUAGUUAUCAUGAUAAGUGAUAAAUAUUCAGCCAUUAUUUUUCAAGCAAUUUUUUCGUUUGAAUUCUCACCUCCUCUUUUGUGAGACUCUUCAUUAUGUGAUGUAUUUUAGGCCACAAUAUGGUGCUCUAUUCAUUUUUAAAAAAUAUUUCCGCUAAGUUUCAUUUUGGAUAUUUUUGAUUGCUUUGUCUUCAAUUUCUUAAUUCUUUUUUCUGUGAUGUAUUGUGGUGUCUUAUCUACUGUUAAUCUCAUAAAGUUUUUUCAUCUCAGAUGUUAUAUUUUUCACAUCCAGAAGAUUAAUUUGGAUCUUAUCAUUUCCAGUGAUCUUCAUCAAAUGCGUGCUUUUCUCUAAACUUCUUGAGCAUAUGAAGUACAUUUUUAGCAUUUUGUCUGCUGAUUCGAUUAGCUGUCUCCAUCUGUCUUAAUUUUUUUUUCCCUUGGCAUUGGGACAUGAUUUAGUGCUUGUUUAUACACCUGGCAAUCUGUGAUUAGAUGCCACACUGUGUUUUAUGUUUUGGAUCUUGGUUUUUGGUGUUACUUGAAUAUUUUUUUGGUUUCAGAUUUACCUGAAAUCCACUUGAUCC